CAUUAAUUGCCUCCUUCGAUUUCCACCUUUCUCUACCCAAACGAGGUGUUAUCUCGUCCUUGUUAGCAUGCUUUUCUCUGCUUUGUGAACGUUGAACGUUUAUAUACUUUAAUCGAUUUUGGUCGUUUGUGAAUUUUGAAUCUUGAUUUGCUAUUGGUUCAUUUGGAACCUAAAAGAUCGACCUUUUUUUUUAGGCAGACCUGACCCUUUGUUUGUUUUGUGUUUAAUCCUAACCCUCCAAAGUUGGGUGUAAGGAGGAAACCCCACAAGGGGAGUUAUCCCACAUCGAACAAGAGUGGGUUUUGAAAUUCUAGGUUUCUCUAUUUAAAGGGGGCCUAUUUUGCUUGUUGGAAAAAAGGAGGAAAGAAAAAUAUUUUUCUGCAAAUGUACUCGUUUAGACUCGAAAUACUUGAAGAUUUCUUUCAAAAUCUGAUUGAAGUCUUUUUUAAGAAAUUUCUGAGUCCAGUAAAAUUUUAAAAGAAGGAAAGGGGCAACUCUUUUCUUUUGCUUGCAUUUUUGUUAAGUUCUAUGGCUUGAGUUUGGGGUUUGGAGGCAUAAAUCAUCAAGUUUGAAUCUCGACUCGCAAAAGAUGAUUUAUCAAAAAGUGCAGUUCCAACAGGCCAAGACAACUGAAAGUGAAAAAUCAUGAGUGAGUUUCGAAUUUCAAUUUCCUGUUUUUCUUAUUUAAUGUAUAAAUAUUAAGCUUUAGAGGCACUAAAACAUUGAGGAGGCUGCUAAUUAUGUGUUAGUGAUACAACUUCAUCAUUUAAGGACAUGGAGUUUUUACUCAUAACAAAUCUUGAAAGUUGAAUCCCCAAAUCAACUGUCACUAUUAAUCACAUAUAUUCAUUCAAAAUGCACAAAUCUGGGUAUCCAAAUUUACAGCUAAAAAAAUUAAGAAACCCCAAAUCUGUGCUUGAAAAAAUUAAGAAACCCCAAAUCUGUGCUUGUUAUCUAACCAUUGAUGUAAUACAGUGAACUCGACUUAAUAUGGUAUUACUGAAUACCGUACCGAACCGAAGUUUGACUUACCGAUUACCGAAUUACGAUUUACCGAUUACCGAACCAAAGUUCAAAAGUUCGGUAUUUGGUAUCUACUUUCAAUUACCGAAUUACCGAAACCGAACUGUAUACCGAACGCCCACCCCUACCAGUAAAUAAAGAAAAUAGGAGAAUGAAUUGUUGUGUUGAUGUAAUCUUGGCUGUAUUAGGAAUGCUAACUAAAAGAGGAAUAGACCUUUUAAAGAGGAAGGUAGAAUGAGUCUUGUUAAGUCACAUAAGUCCAGGCUUGGUUUUUCUUUGGUUAAUUGUCUUCACGUGAUAAUUCUCUACUUGCUAUUGGUUGAUUCAUUCUGCUAAUUGAAGUCCAUGUCUUCAUCUCUUUUCCUUCCCUCUUUCCUUACCUCUUUUAGGACUCAGUUGAGUUUGUUUGUUUGUGAACUUAGUCUUUGGACUUUGUCAUUCUAUUAACUAUGAUCUUUGAAUUAGUUCUGGCCUGGUAUAACUAUGUAUGCACAUAUCCUUUCAUUUGUAUAUCACUAAGUUUAGCACAAACUUAGGGAAGUAAGUUAGCACUUGGGGAUUAAGCUUAAGCUUUCCCUAAUGCCUACCAUGCCUGGGAUUCAUGAAAUCCCUUGGAUCUUGUGUUGCAUUAGGAUUAAGGAAAUAAAAGCUUUCCUUUUGGUGCUAUUUUGGCAUCCCUAUAGUUGUGUAUAUCAGAUGGAAGAGAAUGUAUACCUGUGCUAUGAAUAAAUCUUGUGACCAGUUGUAUAUUACUUGUGUAUUUGGGCUCUAUUUCUCUUCUUCCUUCUUCAUUCUACUGUGUUUCGUGUGGGCCUUGUGUUGUUGGGCUUAUAAAUCAUGAAUUUGGCCUUUACCUUGACUCAUAAAUAUUAAUAUGUGUUCUGCCUGCCUAAAUGUUCUUCCAAAAGUGGUAAUUGUUUCAUUUCAACACAUUAAUAUGUCAUAUAUCCCUGUACUUAGAAUAUCUUGGGUAUUCUCUAAUUUACGUUUCUUUCCUCUUUGCUUGCAUGAAAAUCCUAUGGUUCUGGGGCGUUUCUACUGCAAAAAAUUCAUUGGGCCAAAGGCCCAACAUUCCUGUUGAUCUAGUCCGUGAGAAAUAAAUGUGAAAGAGAAGCUAAUAUGUCUUGAAGGCCCAGCUAGUGGGUAAAAAUGGCACCGAUGGGCGGGAUAGGGCCAUCAGUUGGAAAUCUGAUUCUCUUUCUUCCUCCUUUAUGUAUGUAUGUAUGUUGUAUAUGUACUGAUAUACGUGAUUAUUGGAACCCAUUAUGCAUGUUAGAAGUUAGGAAAAUACUUAGUGAUUUAGGUAAGUCGCCAAAACAAACCAAUUUUCGAACCACGGCUACUAACUCUUUUUUUUCUUAAACUAAAAAAAAAAAGUUUCAAGAGUUGGUUUUCUUUUC